AGCAGUGUGGCCUAAUGGAAAAAGUACUGGCCUGGGAGUCAGAGGCCCUGGGUUCUAAUCCCAGCUUCGCCA
rnacentral:tRNA from 1 species